rnacentral:rRNA from 1 species
UAUAAUUGUCAGCUAAGUGGCGCACGGGUGAGUAAUGUAUAGAUAACCUGCCCUUAAGAAAGGAAUAACAGUUGGAAACGACUGCUAAUGCCCUAUAUGCCUUUAAUACAUAAGUAUGCAAGGGAAACGCUUUAGUGCUUAAGGAUGGGUCUGUAUGGUAUCAGCUUGUUGGUGAGGUAAUGGCUCACCAAGGCUAUGACGCCUAACUGGUUUGAGAGGAUGAUCAGUCACACUGGAACUGAGACACGGUCCAGACUCCUACGGGAGGCAGCAGUGGGGAAUAUUGCACAAUGGACGAAAGUCUGAUGCAGCAACGCCGCGUGGAGGAUGACACAUUUCGGUGCGUAAACUCCUUUUAUAUAGGAAGAUAAUGACGGUACUAUAUGAAUAAGCACCGGCUAACUCCGUGCCAGCAGCCGCGGUAAUACGGAGGGUGCAAGCGUUACUCGGAAUCACUGGGCGUAAAGAGCGUGUAGGCGGGUAUAUAAGUCAGAAGUGAAAUCCAAUAGCUCAACUAUUGAACUGCUUUUGAAACUGUGUACCUAGAAUGUGGGAGAGGUAGAUGGAAUUUCUGGUGUAGGGGUAAAAUCCGUAGAGAUCAGAAGGAAUACCGAUUGCGAAGGCGAUCUACUGGAACAUUAUUGACGCUGAGACGCGAAAGCGUGGGGAGCAAACAGGAUUAGAUACCCUGGUAGUCCACGCCCUACACGAUGUACACUAGUUGUUGUGAGGCUCGACCUUGCAGUAAUGCAGUUAACACAUUAAGUGUACCGCCUGGGGAGUACGGUCGCAAGAUUAAAA